UGGCUGGCAAGAUGAAGCUCUCCCUGGUGUA
rnacentral:piRNA from 1 species